rnacentral:SRP_RNA from 1 species
GCCGGGCAUGGUGGCGCAUGCCUGUAAUCUCAGCUACUCAGGAGGCUGAGGCAGGAGAUGAACCUGGGAGGCAGAGGUUGCAGUGAGCCGAGAUUGCGUCAUUGCACUCCAGCCUGGACAACAGAGCUAGACUCUGUUUCAAAUAAAUAAAUAUCCAAAGAUUUUUCAAAAGGGAAAUAUCUUUUUUUUUUAAAAGACAGAGUCUCACUCUGUCACCCAGGCUGGAGUGCAGUGGCACAAUCUCGGCUCACCGCAACCUUUGCCUCCCAGGUUCAAGCAAUUCUCCUGCCUCAGU